UACUGGGCGUAAAGCGAGCGUAGGUGGCUUGACUAAGUCAGAUGUGAAAGCCCCGGGCUUAACCUGGGAACGGCAUCUGAUACUGUUAGGCUAGAGUAGGUGAGAGGAAGGUAGAAUUCCAGGUGUAGCGGUGAAAUGCGUAGAGAUCUGGAGGAAUACCGAUGGCGAAGGCAGCCUUCUGGCAUCAUACUGACACUGAGGUUCGAAAGCGUGGGUAGCAAACAGGAUUAGAUACCCUGGUAGUCCACGCCGUAAACGAUGUCUACUAGUCGUUGGGUCCCUUGAGGACUUAGUGACGCAGCUAACGCAAUAAGUAGACCGCCUGGGGAGUACGGCCGCAAGGUUAAAACUCAAAUGAAUUGACGGGGGCCCGCACAAGCGGUGGAGCAUGUGGUUUAAUUCGAUGCAACGCGAAGAACCUUACCUGGUCUUGACAUAUCUAGAAUCCUGCAGAGAUGCGGGAGUGCCUUCGGGAAUUAGAAUACAGGUGCUGCAUGGCUGUCGUCAGCUCGUGUCGUGAGAUGUUGGGUUAAGUCCCGCAACGAGCGCAACCCUUGUCCUUAGUUACCAGCGGUUUGGCCGGGAACUCUAAGGAUACUGCCAGUGACAAACUGGAGGAAGGCGGGGACGACGUCAAGUCAUCAUGGCCCUUACGACCAGGGCUGCACACGUGCUACAAUGGUAGGUACAGAGGGCAGCUACACAGCGAUGUGAUGCGAAUCUCAAAAAGCCUAUCGUAGUCCAGAUUGGAGUCUGCAACUCGACUCCAUGAAGUAGGAAUCGCUAGUAAUC
rnacentral:rRNA from 1 species